GAAGUGAAGCCUGCUACUUCACAUUGAGGCUUUAUGACAUGUUUGGUAUGCCUCACAUAUUAUGAUUUUCAGCCAGCAAGGGGAAACAGUGGGUGAAUUGGCCAGAUAUGCUAUGGUCAGCUAAUCCAGAGAAGAUAAAAUGAGUCUACAUGCUCAGUCUAGACUUAUGCCAAAACUUCCGGAUGCACACUGUUUCCCUCCUCUGCUUCAUUACGCAAGAGUGGUGUCCAUCAGAACUCCAGGAGUGCUUUUACAGCCUAUGAAGUCACACGUUGUCCGGUUGUCUGCAGUUGAUCAUGCUGUACCAGAGGGGAGGAAAUGCAAUUAAAAUAAAAACGACACACUAACUGGUAUUUCUGAAGGC
rnacentral:lncRNA from 1 species